AACUCAAGGCCCAUGGGAUGCUUAGAUCUGGCCUUCUGGGCUGCCCUGGAAACUGUGAAGGACCAGUCUGCGAUGCUACGUGUGGU